UACGGAGGGUGCAAGCGUUGUCCGGAUUUAUUGGGUUUAAAGGGCGCGUAGGCGGCUAUUUAAGUCAGUGGUGAAAUCCUGCAGCUUAACUGUAGAAUUGCCAUUGAUACUGGAUAGCUUGAGUACAGACGAGGUAGGCGGAAUUUAUGGUGUAGCGGUGAAAUGCAUAGAUACCAUAAAGAACACCUAUUGCGAAGGCAGCUUACUAGGCUGUAACUGACGCUGAGGCACGAAAGUGUGGGGAUCAAACAGG
rnacentral:rRNA from 1 species